CCUACGGGUGACAGCAGUGGGGAAUAUUGCGCAAUGGACGCAAGUCUGAACCAGCCAUGCCGCGUGCAGGAAGACGGCUCUAUGAGUUGUAAACUGCUUUUGUACGGGGGUAAGUCCCGAUACGUGUAUCGGGUUGAAAGUAUCGUACGAAUAAAGAUCGGCUAACUCCAUGCCAGCAGCCGCGGUAAUACGGAGGGUUCAAGCGUUAUUCGGAUUGAUUGGGUUUAAAGGGCGCGGAGGCGGUUCGAUAAGUUAGAGGUGAAAUCCCGGGGCUCAACUCCGGCACUGCCUCUGAUACUGUCGGGCUAGAGUUUAGUUGCGGUAGGUGGAAUGUAUGGUGUAGCGGUGAAAUGCUUAGAGAUCAGACAGAACACCGAUUGCGAAGGCAGCUUAUCAAGCUACUUCUGACGCUGAGGCACGAAAGCGUGGGGAGCAAACAGGAUUAGAUACCCCGGUAGUC
rnacentral:rRNA from 1 species